rnacentral:rRNA from 1 species
GAUGAACGCUGGCGGCGUGCUUAACACAUGCAAGUCGAACGGAAGUCUUCGGACUUUAGUGGCGGACGGGUGAGUAACGCGUGAGAAUCUGACCCUAGGUUGGGGACAACAGUUGGAAACGACUGCUAAUACCCAAUGUGCUGAGAAGUGAAAGGUUAACUGCCUGGGGAUGAGCUCGCGUCCGAUUAGCUAGUUGGUUAGGUAAGAGCUGACCAAGGCGACGAUCGGUAGCUGGUCUGAGAGGAUGAUCAGCCACACUGGGACUGAGACACGGCCCAGACUUCUACGGGAGGCAGCAGUGGGGAAUUUUCCGCAAUGGGCGAAAGCNUGACGGAGCAACGCCGCGUGUGGGAAGAAGGUUUUAGGACUGUAAACCACUUUUCUCAGGGAAGAAGAUCUGACGGUACCUGAGGAAUAAGCAUCGGCUAAUUCCGUGCCAGCAGCCGCGGUAAUACGGGAGAUGCAAGCGUUAUCCGGAAUUAUUGGGCGUAAAGCGUUCGUAGGCGGUUCAACAAGUCUGUUGUCAAAGGUCGCAGCUUAACUSSGGAAAGGCAAUGGAAACUKKKGRRCUAGAGUGUGGUAGGGGUAAGGGGAAUUCCCAGUGUAGCGGUGAAAUGCGUAGAUAUUGGGAAGAACACCAGCGGCGAAANCGCC